rnacentral:snRNA from 1 species
UUCUACCGAGAGUAGGAAC